UACGUAGGGGGCAAGCGUUGUCCGGAUUUAUUGGGCGUAAAGAGCGUGUAGGCGGCCAGAUAGGUCAGCUGUGAAAACUCGAGGCUCAACCUCGAGACGUCGGUUGAAACCAUCUGGCUAGAGUCCGGAAGAGGAGAGUGGAAUUCCCGGUGUAGCGGUGAAAUGCGUAGAUAUCAGGAGGAACACCGGUGGCGAAGGCGGGUCUCUGGGCCGAUACUGACGCUGAGGAGCGAAAGCGUGGGGAGCGAACAGG
rnacentral:rRNA from 1 species